rnacentral:lncRNA from 1 species
CAUGUUGGCGGUGCCGUCUGCGUUUCGUCAACGUUAGCGUCGUUUGGAUCUCUCGGCCGUCGCAGUAUCCCAGACUCCGAAGGAUGCGCGCUAUGACCUCAACGCGCGGAGUUUGUGAUACCCGUAGAUGCGCCAGCGGGAUGACGACCGCUGUGGAAGAGACGCGCCGCUUGAGACUGGAGGUCGAGCGUUGAGGCACCUCGAAAAAGCCAACGUUCGAAAACGCUGCUGUGCUUUUGCGUGAUGACGAGGACGACUUGAGGAGGACAGCAGUCUACAUUUCCUUCCGCAGGGGUGCUGGACGCCAAUGGACUCAAAGGAGAUCACAUACGGCUGACCGCCUCCCGAAGAUGUGUCAGACGCAGCGACGGAUGGUGACGCCCGAUGUAUAUAGGCGAAGGGUGCCGAACCGAAGUCCCUGAGUCUCGGAAGAGCGGCGGCACUUUCGGUAGGUUUUGCUCAUUCAGUGCUGCCGAACUCGAUGAUUUUGCCCGCCGACACACUGCCGAUGAUGCACACCAGUAUCGCUAACUCACGCUUGACUGGUGGUAAUAGUCAGCCUGGGCGGAUGAUGAUAAUAAUGCUCGUUGCAACAACCGUUGAACGCAUGAGGCACUCGAGUCGUGUGGUGAACACCCGGAACCAAGUUGAUAUCCCACCCUCGCAUCAGUGCCUGAUGCCAUCCCCCCCCCUCCCCUUCCACACCGUAGCGGUUCGACGAGGACAUCGUGGUGUCGCGAUUGUCUCAUCUAUCUAGAUUGGGUAUUACAUGUCGUGUUCAAAACAAAGAAGAUACAAACAAUCAUCAGUGGUUCCACCAUCCCUCCGGGACGAUUCCCUUGAACCACUGCCCCGAGCC